UGCCAGCCGCCGCGGUAACACGAACCGUCCAAACGUUAUUCGGUAUCACUGGGCUUAAAGCGUGCGUAGGCGGCUUGGUAGGUGAGAUGUGAAAGCCCACGGCUCAACCGUGGAAUUGCGUUUCAAACCCUCAAACUUGAGGAAGACAGGGGUGUCGGGAACUUAUGGUGGAGCGGUGAAAUGCGUUGAUAUCAUAGGGAACACCGGUGGCGAAGGCGCGACACUGGGUCUUUUCUGACGCUGAGGCACGAAAGCUAGGGUAGCGAACGGGAUUAGAUA
rnacentral:rRNA from 1 species